rnacentral:rRNA from 1 species
UACGAAGGGGGCUAGCGUUGCUCGGAAUUACUGGGCGUAAAGGGUGUGUAGGCGGAUACUUAAGUCGGGGGUGAAAGCCCAGGGCUCAACCCUGGAAUAGCCUUCGAUACUGGGUAUCUUGAGUUCGGGAGAGGUAAGUGGAACUCCGAGUGUAGAGGUGAAAUUCGUAGAUAUUCGGAAGAACACCAGUGGCGAAGGCGACUUACUGGCCCGAUACUGACGCUGAAACACGAAAGCGUGGGGAGCAAACAGGG